ensembl:lncRNA
AUUUCUUUGAUCUUAGUUAUCUGUAACAAAACAUUUUAAUACUGAAAAUGGUGUUUAACUAAUUACUUCUCCAAAGGUUUUCUCUAAACAUUAUCAUCAUGUCAAAAUCGUGUGGUGACUGGUGGCUUUGCACCAAAGACAAUUACCAUUUUGGCCACUAUUGUUGGAGGAAACUGCAACAACAUAGUAAAAAUAGCAUUUACAUUUCAAGGCUUACUAUGCAACUAUUGAGUGAUGAAACACUAAAGACAUGUUUAGAAAAGUUGAGGGCCACUGACAUCGCUCAGUCUAACACUAAUGCCUUGAUGUCCAUUUUGAAUGUGAACAAGUACACCUCAAGCGCCCCACUUCUAGAUUGUCAGUUAAAUGCAAUGUUUUGAGUUUUCAGUGUAAUUAAACUUAGUAUUUUCUAUGUUAAUCUGAAAGCAUAUUCUCCUUUUUAACUGAACUAUAAAUUAAUUUAUUACCAAUCAUGUACAUCAGACUACAAAUUGUCCCCGUCUAUAAGCAUGCAUCUAAACUCACUGUACUAAUGUUAUAACUAGAAUUAUAACUAAAGCAAGUCAAUUCUCAAGAGAGUUGAAAAUUAUUCAGACAUUUCAAUGUUUCAAUAAAGAUUUGACCGCACAGCCCAAAGAAAACAGAAUUUUAAGCAAAUGCAUUUAAAUUAUUAUAGCUUAUUUAUUGUACACCUAACUAACCAUAGUCAUGUUGAUUUUGGCCUGGUUACUUAAAAUUAAGUAAGGGAUGUAGGUAAAUGAUUUCUGUGGGACUGUCUGGUUCAGGAUUUUGCUGCCACCAUGGGGCAUUUGUCAGAAUUUAGUCUUUUAGUUUCCAGGUGAAUAAACAAUGGAAAUCAACUUAAUGGUAAUAUAAAUGUAGAGAAUUGCCUCACUUAAGUGGAACAAAGAGCACAUGAAAAUGGGGCGUAACAGAGAAUGAAUAAUCAGCAAAACAAGAGUACAACAGCCUAAAUGAAUUGGCAGCAUGAUAUAUUUAAGCAGUGCCACUUAUUGUACAUUAAAACAUUCUGAUAAUAAACACUGAAAAAGAUCCCUAUUUUACACACAACACGAAAAAAGGAAUUUGCCGCCCUAUUGCAUGAGCAUACAAUUUGACUUAUUCACUGAUGUGCUAGCUUCGGAAACAGGUGAUAGACUUUGAAUGGCUGGGGGUCGGUGAGGAAAGGGUUGAAUAUCUCUGCCAGUUUGUGCUUGGCUCUACCCUCCUCUUUGCCAGGUCUGCCUAGUGUGCUUUAUUGGCUCCCAUUGUUAACAAAUAUGCCAUAUUGGGGUUAAUUAUAAUUAUUGUCUAUAUCCAUUCUAAAAACACUAACCAGAUGAGCUCAUUAAAUUAAUUUAUGAUUGGGUAGCUGGUCUUAGUUUUUUUUACUGUAUAGGUAAUGUCUAAGGGCUAACCUCUGUCUCAUAAUCUUGCUUUCCAUGGUGCUACUGUGUGUGUGUGUCCCUCUGUCAAAGCCCCUGCUGGGAAACAUAGAAAAACACUUUGAGACUGUUUUUUUUUAUUAGGUUAUUUGUGUAUCACUUGUCUUUUUCACAUUGGACAAGGCCAGAUUAGCACUACAUAGCUCAGUGUCACACAGCUAUAACAGUGAGUACAGUUAUAUAAACUAACAUUCCUUCUUAGGGUAUUGCGUAGGUAUGGUGCUCAAUACGCAUCUGAAUGACUGUACCCAUUAAAAUAGCAUGUAUCUUUCUAUGUUAGACAGUCUGGAAUACAGGAAGCAGUAUUAGUGGAACAAGGGUAGUUCAUAUGGCCAAACUUUGCUCGAUGGAAAAAUUUGAGGUUACACCCAUAUCUUAUUGUACACACCUGAUUGCAAUGCAAACAAUCCCCAUUUCAUCAGAACUGUCUGCUGAUUAGUACAUACCGUGGACAAAGUGCUACUUCAAAAUGUAACUUAUAGGAUAGUAACAUGACAUAAGAACUGUCGCUAAUGAAUAUGAUGAAUUGAAUAAAUAUUGUAAUAAAAAGGCAAGAGCUCCUCAAGCAAGGCUAGGUCAGGUUGGAC